CCAGCGUGUUCUGCCACAAUCCACACUAUGGUUAUGAGCUCACCACCCCGUCCAAGCUGCCUGGCAUGGGACUCCCUGGUGCAUCGGAUGGACGCAUAGAGCAGCUUAUCCACCCAGACAUCAAAAAUGAGCUCCACUACAUCCUUCACUUGCUUUGCUUUCACAUCUUGCAGCGCAAUGGCAAGUCGAGCUGCAUCCGAGAUGAGACCUUGGAUGGUAACGUCGCACAGCCUGAGGAGGGAAGGGUCUGGUACCAUGUGCGGGCGCAACAUGACGAGGAACAUCAGUGUACUUGGUGGGAACCAAUGCAUGAUCUUGCACUGGUUUGAUUCAUCAAACAGAGCACUGCAAUGCGCUUGGUGGAAGCAAUACAUGAUUUGCGAAAAAAAUGAAGUGAUGCAUAUUGUGCUGAAUCAACAUGGCAGUUUACCAGACCUUUUGAUGCUCCACACAUAUGUUCUUUGUAUCAUGCAAGUACGUGGUAUUGUGUGAUUGUAGAAAUUCUUAAAAAUUGUAGCCCUUCUCAAUAUUGUAACCUCUUUUGCUGU